rnacentral:misc_RNA from 1 species
ACUAUCUAAAUCAACAGUUGAUCAGAGAUUUAACCGCAACUCAAGUUGAGCCGUCCAGCGAGCCUUCUGGACGUUGUCCCUGCGAACAGCCGCGGCCCCGGGUCCGCGCACGAGGCUCUCGCUAUGAGGUCUCCUGCCGAACGCUGUUCGGCCCACCGUGCCUCUAUGAGAGGCCUGCCCGAACUCACCCAUCAUUUCACGAUCGCGACAUCGUCGUCACCGCCUGCGGACGCAUCUGCCUGCACCACUAGAAAAUCAAUCUCGACCGUGAUCGCCGGACAAAGACUCGGCACCAUAGGGAGAUCGACGAGGAAAUUUGGCUCGUCAGCUUCAGCCACUACGAUCUCGGAGGAACAGGGGACUUUGGAGCCCCUCGGCAGCCCGUUCGGCCCGAGGUUGUCACCCAUGUCUUAGGUACGUUCCGUCACCCACGUCUUCGGGCUGGACACGGU